AGGAAGGGAGACGGCGGCACUUUAACAAUGACAUUGACAGGUGGAGGCCAAACUUGUAUAAGGACAUUUACCAAAGUGUAACAACAUUCCAAUAGUGCCAAUAUUAUUCCAUGAAGUUCAUUUCAAUAUUUCAUACAUGUAGUUCAAUAAAUUGUACAAUGGAUUUGUUUCUUCUUUCUUAAAUUAUCCUUUUAGAUUGCUGUAGAGGAUGCAACACUUGUUAUAACUUUCGAAAGUUGGGCAUGACAAACUUUGCCUAAAGGAACUGCAUUAAACAUUAAGCGUAUCGUUUACCUGUAAAGUUUAGUUAUAUAGUAAAGGAUUCCAAUAACGAGAUGUAAUAGGGUGUUCUUCGUUGGUUUGUGGUAGAUGCUAGUAUAUUCCACCAAAGUAUAUCAAGAUGCAGCAUUUCAAGGACUGUAAUGUAAAUCUCGAAUUCACGAUGGAAACAUAUAUAUUUUUUACAUAACAUGUGAAGGUGAAAAUUUAACUAUUUUUUCAACAGAUUUUAAACCAAAGAUUACACAUUUUGUAUUUAUGUACCAGCGAUGAAUGCAUUAAAUACUUUUUUAUUCGCUUAGUAGAUACGAAUAUGCUACACCAAAAUGUAAAUAACUGCAUAGUUUAUACAUACAUCGCUCAUAUAAAGCAGAUGCGCUUAUCUUCCCUUUGGGAAUUUAUUGUUUAUGUAAAAUAAGUUGAUAACUGACUAAUUAAGUAAUUACUGACGUUCCCGUAUAUAUUUCAGUUAAUUAGUUUGGUAAUGGCCUCUCAUGAUUUGGGCGUUCUAGUCCUAAUUAGUUUGUUAUUUGCUCAUAUUGGCCACUGCCCAAGAUUGCUGAUCACUAAUAGGAGUCGUUUGGAAUUUUAGUGUUGUAGCAUUUCAGGCUGAUACUUUAUUCAUUUUACAUAUUUUCAUAUUAUCUAAUGAUCUUAAAUUAUUCAGAAGUUUCCGAGUUAUCUAUCAGUUAAGGUACUUCAAACUGAAAACGGGUUUUCUUUCCUCGGCAUCAAAUAAUAUGAUAUUGCAUAUUUUGGACUUGCAAACUCUUAGUUAUAUAAAUCACGUUACAUUAACAUAAGAAAUUCUCUGUUUUCUCCACCCGCUAAUAUGAUGAUAUGGCGCAUAUAACAUAGAUUUUCAAAUUUAAUAAAACAUGUACAUAUGUAAAAGAUCAUAUCGAGGUAAAUAACGAUAAGGCUUCCAAGCAGUGAUUGGAGUGGAGAGUACUUGUGAAUAUCAUCAGUAUAUUCGGCCCGGAUUAUACUAUUCAGGGUCAUUGCCCCAGAAAGUUUUCUUUUUAUAAAAAAGUACUCGAAUGACUUAUGUACAAUCGUUGAGAAUUGAAAGAAGCAGCAGUUAAUGGAACGUAAAUUUUCAGUGAUUUAUUGAUUUAUCCCUUAAAUUUUGCAUAUAACUCUUCUCUUGUGUUUAUUUGUUUAGUUAUUUAUACCAGUUGUACUGACAAUUACAUAGUUGUUUUAC